AGAGUUUGAUCCUGGCUCAGGAUGAACGCUAGCGGCAGGCUUAACACAUGCAAGUCGAGGGGCAGCGGGGAGGAAGCUUGCUUUCUCCGCCGGCGACCGGCGCACGGGUGAGUAACACGUAUGCAACCUGCCCCUGUCAGGGGGACAACCCACCGAAAGGCGGGCUAAACCCGCGUACAUGCCACCGGGGCAUCCCGGAGGCAGGAAAGGCUUCGGCCGGACAGGGAUGGGCAUGCGGCGCAUUAGGCAGUAGGCGGGGUAACGGCCCACCUAACCGACGAUGCGUAGGGGUUCUGAGAGGAAGGUCCCCCACACUGGUACUGAGACACGGACCAGACUCCUACGGGAGGCAGCAGUGAGGAAUAUUGGUCAAUGGUCGGGAGACUGAACCAGCCAAGCCGCGUGAGGGAGGAAGGUACAGAGUAUCGUAAACCUCUUUUGUCAGGGAACAAAGGCGGGGACGUGUCCCCGGAUGAGUGUACCUGAAGAAAAAGCAUCGGCUAACUCCGUGCCAGCAGCCGCGGUAAUACGGAGGAUGCGAGCGUUAUCCGGAUUUAUUGGGUUUAAAGGGUGCGCAGGCGGUCUGUUAAGUCAGCGGUCAAAGCCCGGGGCUCAACCCCGGCCCGCCGUUGAAACUGGCAGUCUCGAGUUGGAGAGAAGUAUGCGGAAUGCGCGGUGUAGCGGUGAAAUGCAUAGAUAUCGCGCAGAACUCCGAUUGCGAAGGCAGCAUGCCGGCUCCACACUGACGCUGAGGCACGAAAGCGUGGGUAUCGAACAGAAAUAGAUUACUCUGGUAGUCCCACGCAGUAAACGAGGAAUGCUGGCUGUCCGGGGGGAUUGACCCCUGGGUGGGGGAAAGCGAAAGCGAUAAGCAUUCCACCCUGGGGAGUACGCCGGCAACGGUGAAACUCAAAGGAAUUGACGGGGGCCCGCACAAGCGGAGGAACAUGUGGUUUAAUUCGAUGAUACGCGAGGAACCUUACCCGGGCUCAAACGGGGAGUGACUCAGGCAGAGACGCCUGUUUCCCACGGGACACUCCCCGAGGUGCUGCAUGGUUGUCGUCAGCUCGUGCCGUGAGGUGUCGGCUUAAGUGCCAUAACGAGCGCAACCCCCGCGUGCAGUUGCUAACAGAUAACGCUGAGGACUCUGCACGGACUGCCGGCGCAAGCCGCGAGGAAGGCGGGGAUGACGUCAAAUCAGCACGGCCCUUACGUCCGGGGCGACACACGUGUUACAAUGGGUGGUACAGCGGGAAGCCAGGCGGCGACGCCGAGCGGAACCCGAAAUCCACUCUCAGUUCGGAUCGGAGUCUGCAACCCGACUCCGUGAAGCUGGAUUCGCUAGUAAUCGCGCAUCAGCCAUGGCGCGGUGAAUACGUUCCCGGGCCUUGCACUCACCGCCCGUCA
rnacentral:rRNA from 1 species